rnacentral:rRNA from 1 species
AGCGAACGCUGGCGGCAGGCUUAACACAUGCAAGUCGAACGGGCUUCUUCGGAAGUCAGUGGCAGACGGGUGAGUAACACGUGGGAACGUGCCCUUCGGUUCGGAAUAACUCAGGGAAACUUGAGCUAAUACCGGAUACGCCCUUUUGGGGAAAGGUUUACUGCCGAAGGAUCGGCCCGCGUCUGAUUGGCUUGUUGGUGGGGUAACGGCCUACCAAGGCGACGAUCAGUAGCUGGUCUGAGAGGAUGAUCAGCCACACUGGGACUGAGACACGGCCCAGACUCCUACGGGAGGCAGCAGUGGGGAAUAUUGGACAAUGGGCGCAAGCAUGAUCCAGCCAUGCCGCGUGAGUGAUGAAGGCCUUAGGGUUGUAAAGCUCUUUUGUCCGGGACGAUAAUGACGGUACCGGAAGAAUAAGCCCCGGCUAACUUCGUG